UCCAAUCAAAACAGGUGACUUGAGUGUGGG
rnacentral:piRNA from 1 species